UACGUAGGGGCCGAGCGUUGUCCGGAUUCAUUGGGCGUAAAGAGCGUGUAGGCGGCCGCUUAAGUCCUGCGUGAAAUCUCGGAGCUCAACUCCGAGCGGUCGUGGGAAACUGGGCGGCUAGAGUGCGGGAGAGGAGAGUGGAAUUCCUGGUGUAGCGGUGGAAUGCGCAGAUAUCAGGAAGAACACCCGUGGCGAAGGCGGCUC
rnacentral:rRNA from 1 species